rnacentral:lncRNA from 1 species
ACCACUGGAGGAAAUUAUGUCAUUGAAUUCCCUGAAGCCUUUUUUUUUUUUUUUUUGCAUGAUCUUCUUAUGUGGAAAGGCACAGUUUGCCACCACCUUUAUAUUAUAAGGAGGACCACAAGCACAUCUUAAGCUGCUCAGAAUUUAAGAUAUUCCCUAUCUAUGCUUGUUAAUUUCUGAAUGACUGGAAGGCACUCAGAGCAUUAAGGGAAGUUUCCUCUUGGAGCUUUUUAAAAGAAACUGUACUGGAUAUUUUGAAGUUGAGAUGCUGAUGGUUUGCUUGGGCUUCUUUUGUAACAAAAUGUUAAUACUUGCAUCACAACUGAGAGUCUCACAGGAGGUAUGAUGUUUAACUAGCACCCAAGAUGCAGGAACAGAGCUGAUGCGUGAACACUGGGGUCAUGUUAGGCGAAUUGUUCAAAAAAUGCUGGUCUCUCUCAUUACUUUAACCUUCACAGAAGAAAUCCCCUAUAGGGAGGAAGGAGAGAGACUGUAG